rnacentral:lncRNA from 1 species
AUCGAGGUAUCAUAUUUCGUUCUUCACAAAAAUGUGUGCACACUGGUGCAACUCACUCCAAUCUAUACAUAUACAUGGACGGAAAAUCUAAUUAGUUUUAUUAUCGUGGGAUGUUCGCAUAAAUCAAUAUUAUGUUAGAACAAUGUUCCAAUUUCAAAAUUAUAAUUUAAAAAAAAAAAAAAACGUAGGGAAAGCAAAAUUAUGGAAGUGGAAGAAGAGAUGAAAUUUUUUAGGUAAAAUUGAAACAGUAAAUUUUAAAUUUAAUUAAUUUUGAUGGAAUUGAAGAUGUGUAGCUUCCAUUCUCUGUGGAUUUUUUUUUUUUAAAGAAGAUAAUUUUUUGUGAUCUUUG